rnacentral:lncRNA from 1 species
GUAAGUCUAGUAGUCUGUGGAUACAUAUUGUUAUUUACCACAGUUAUGUGUGGGUGUGGUGUUUUCAACCGUCUGCUCGGGGGUGAAAACUGUGUCCUCGUUAGCAUCAAGGUGUAUCAGAAACGUUGUACCUUCCAUCUCCUCUUUACUCUCCUCUGCCCUUGCUAUCACUUCAGGGAUUAAGAAGACAAGAUGGAGGGUAAUUUCUGGAUGACAACGAUCCUCCUGUCCUUCUGUCUUUCGGGUCAUAUGUUUACUGAACUCUCCCAACGUCCCAACUGCAAAGACAGACCUCUGUCCGUCCAGCGUGAAUCUUUCCACAGCAGAGUGUCCAUCUCCUGCCCCGACAAGACAGGAGAAGAUAUGAGAUUCCACCUCUCUUGGAACGAGACCCUCGUUCACACCACAGUGCUCAAGAUUAACCAGAUUCACACCAGAAACAACCAAUCAGACACCUGGAUCCAGUUCUACCUAGCUGAACAGAACCAGAACCACAAUCUACCCAACCGCUAUGUGUUCACGGUCAAUGGAUCAGGAAUGUAUACCUGUAGAGCGGACAAGCUGUGGCCACCCCCUUAUGAAGAGGACUAUGUUCACACUCUACUGAUUGCAGAGAAGCAGUGUCUGAAACCCCACUAUCCGCUAGCCAAUCAGAGUUGUGUGGAGGAUCCUAAACCCCUCCUUCUGUGUGUGUUAUUGGUUGGAUGUGGGGCGCUACUCUUCUACAGCACCAUCAUCACCUUCGUCGUCGUCCUCACCUGGAGGAAGCUGAAGAAGGAAAUUUCUGCUCAGAGUACAUACUUGAACAUAAAGCUAGGAGAGAAGAGAGUUCCUCAGAGAGUCCAGUAUCCAGUCACCGGAAGGUUCUGAUGCUGAUCUUCCUAAGGCUGUGCGUGCACUACUUUUGUGCACAAUAUAGGGAAUAGGCACCCUAAUCUGGGACUUGGCCGAUUGGCUCUUCAAUCAAUCUACUGACGCAUUCAAUGCAUUAUAACUUCGGGAAAAUCAGGAUCAUUAGGACAUGAUCAGAAUACAUGAUUACGUCUCAUACUGCAUCAGAACAGCGUCGUACUGCAUCAGAACAGCUUCGUACUGCAUCAGAACAGCUUCAUACUGCAUCAGAACAGCUUUAUACUGCAUCAGAACAGUGUCAUACUGCAUCAGAAUAGUGUCAUACUGCAUCAGAACAGCUUUAUACUGCAUCAGAACAGUGUCAUACUGCAUCAGAAUAGUGUCAUACUGCAUCAGAACAGCUUUAUACUGCAUCAGAACAGGUCAUACUGCAUCAGAACAGCUUCGUACUGCAUCAGAACAGCUUCGUACUGCAUCAGAACAGCUUCAUAAUACAUUAUUCCUACAGGCUCUAAGUAAAGUUGUACCAAUCAGGAUGUUUGUAUUAAACGCUACACUCUGUAUAAUCUCUGUGUUGUUCCAUAACAAUGACUUCCCUGCCUAUUGUUUAAUGCUCUGUAUGAAGCUGUUUGUGUUUCAAAAGUAAAGGAAGGAGAAUGUUCAUGUGAGUUUCACGUUACGCCCUCACCACACGUUCUUCCUGACAUGCUAGGGUUUCACGCUCAAAUGGCACCCUAUUCCCUAUGUAGUGCACUACUGUUGACCAGGGUCCAUAUGGGCUCUGGUCUAAAGUAGUGCACUAUAAUAUAAGGAAUAGGGUGACAUUUGGGACACCUCCGAGACAUUUUUCACGCCUAUUCUAGGAAACAGUUCAAAUCUUAUCAAAGAUCAUGUCUACGAUUCAUUACUGAGCAGUUUCACACAACCCCACAUACUGUAAGCACACAUAAAUAUUGAAUGCCGUUGGUAAAUAUGUGGAUAAUCCCUAAAUAAAAUGGCUGGUUCUAUAAAUAGGGCACUACUUUUGUCCAGGGCCCAUAAGGGAAUAAGGGACAUUUCAGACAAACCCCUUUAUCUGACAGUUGUGGCUGCUUUGCGUGAUGUAUUGUUGUCUCUACCUUCUUGCCCUUUGUGCUGUUGUCUGUGGCCCAAUAAUGUUUGUACCAUGUUUUGUGCUGCUACCAUGUUGUGUUGCUGUCAUGUUGUGUUUCUACCAUGUUGUGUUGCUACCAUGCUGUGUUGUUACCAUGCUGUGUUUCUACCAUGUUGUGUUUCUACCAUGUUGUGUUGCUACCAUGUUGUGUUGCUACCAUGCUGUGUUGCUACCAUGCUGUGUUGUCAUGUUGUGCUGCUACCAUGCUGUGUUGUCAUGUUGUGCUGCUACCAUGUUGUGUUGCUACCAUGCUGUGUUGUCAUGCUGUGUUGUCAUGUUGUGUUGCUACCAUGUUGUAUUGUCAUGUUGUGUUGCUGCCAUGCUAUGUUGCUACCAUGUUGUGUUGCUACCAUGCUGUGUUGUCAUGUUGUGCUGCUACCAUGUUGUGUUGCUACCAUGCUGUGUUGUCAUGUUGUGUUGCUACCAUGCAGUGUUGUCAUGUUGUGUUGCUACCAUGUUGUGUUUCUACCAUGCUGUGUUGCUACCAUGCUGUGUUGUCAUGUUGUGUUUCUACCAUGUUGUGAUGCUACCAUGUUGUGUUUCUACUAUGCUGUGUUGCUACCAUGUUGUGUUGUCAUGUUGUGUUGCUACCAUGUUGUGUUUCUACCAUGUUGUGUUGCUACCAUGCUGUGUUAUCAUGUUGUGUUGCUACCAUGUUGUGUUUCUACCAUGUUGUGUUUCUACCAUGUUGUGUUGCUACCAUGCUGUGUUGUCAUGUUGUGUUGCUGCCAUGUUGUGUUUCUACCAUGUUGUGAUGCUACCAUGCUGUGUUGUCAUGUUGUGCUACUACCAUGUUGUGUUGCUACCAUGCUGUGUUGUCAUGUUGUGUUGCUACCAUGCUGUGUUGUCAUGUUGUGUUGCUACCAUGUUGUGUUGUCAUGUUGUGUUUCUACCAUGUUGUGUUGCUACCAUGUUGUGUUGCUACCAUGCUGGGUUGCUACCAUUUUGUGUUUCUACCAUGCUGUGUUCCUACCAUGCUGUGUUUCUACCAUGUUGUGUUGCUACCAUGUUGUGUUUCUACCAUGCUGUGUUGCUACCAUGUUGUGUUGUCAUGUUGUGUUGCUACCAUGUUGUGUUGCUACCAUGUUGUGCUCCUACCAUGCUGUGUUGUCAUGUUGUGUUGCUACCAUGUUGUGUUGCUAAUUUGAAUUGAGGGUGGGACCCUCAUUUUAAGGAGGGGGGUGUCACGGCUCCUCCUCUGCAGUGCAGGGGCGGUUCCCCCUGCAGGCAGAGGAGGGUCGUUAGUGAUUGGAGCCACCUGGGCUACCAUGUUGUGUUUCUACCAUGCUGUGUUCCUACCAUGCUGUGUUUCUACCAUGUUGUGUUGCUACCAUGUUGUGUUUCUACCAUGUUGUGUUUCUACCAUGCUGUGUUGUCAUGUUGUGUUGCUACCAUGUUGUGUUGCUACCAUGUUGUGUUUCUACCAUGUUGUGUUGCUACCAUGCUGUGUUGUCAUGUUGUGAUGCUGCCAUGUUGUGUUGCUCCCAUGUUGUGUUGCUACCAUGCUGUGUUGUCAUGUUGUGCUGCUACCAUGUUGUGCUGCUACCAUGCUGUGUUGUCAUGUUGUGUUUCUACCAUGCUGUGUUGUCAUGUUGUGUUGCUACCAUGCUGUGUUGUCAUGUUGUGUUUCUACCAUGUUGUGUUGUCAUGUUGUGUUGCUACCAUGUUGUGUUGUCAUCAUGUUGUGUUUCUACCAUGCUGUGUUGCUACCAUGUUGAUGCUACCAUGCUGUGUUUCUACCAUGCUGUGUUUCUACCAUGUUGUGUUUCUACCAUGUUGUGUUUCUACCAUGCUGUG